CACUGCCCGUCGCUCCUACCGAUUGAAUGGUCCGGUGAAGUGUUCGGAUCGCGGCGACGGGGGCAGUUCGCCGCCCCCGACGUCACGAGAAGUCCAUUGAACCUUAUCAUUUAGAGGAAGGAGAAGUCAUAACAAGAUUUCCAUCGGUGAACCUGCGGAAG
rnacentral:rRNA from 1 species